CUUGCCAUUUACUUGCUACUUGAUCUCUCAAUGCUAUGAGCAGUUAUAUACAUGGGAUAAAAUAGUAUCGGGCCAUUGUAAAUGGAGAUGAAGUAGUAACAGUGUCAUCUCUCCUAUGUGGUCUGCACAUUG
ensembl:snoRNA